GCGACCCCAGGUGAGGCAGGAUUACCCGCUGAGUUUAAGCAUA
rnacentral:rRNA from 1 species